rnacentral:rRNA from 1 species
CCUACGGGUGGCUGCAGUGGGGAAUUUUGGACAAUGGGGGCAACCCUGAUCCAGCCAUGCCGCGUGAGUGAAGAAGGCCUUCGGGUUGUAAAGCUCUUUCGGCCGGGAAGAAAUCGCGCCAGCUAAUACCUGGUGUGGAUGACGGUACCGGAAGAAGAAGCACCGGCUAACUACGUGCCAGCAGCCGCGGUAAUACGUAGGGUGCGAGCGUUAAUCGGAGUGACUGGGGGCGAAGCUGUCGCAGGCGGGUGAAAUCCCCGGGCUUAACCUGGGAACUGCGCUUGUGACUGCAAGACUUGAGUGCGGCAGAGGGGGGUGGAAUUCCACGUGUAGCAGUGAAAUGCGUAGAGAUGUGGAGGAACACCGAUGGCGAAGGCAGCCCCCUGGGUCGACACUGACGCUCAUGCACGAAAGCGUGGGGAGCAAACAGGAUUAGAUACCCCAGUAGUC